UACAGAGGUCUCAAGCGUUGUUCGGAUUCAUUGGGCGUAAAGGGUGCGUAGGCGGCGCCGUAAGUCAGGUGUGAAAUUUCGGAGCUUAACUCCGAAACUGCAUUUGAUACUGCGGUGCUUGAGGACUGGAGAGGAGACUGGAAUUUACGGUGUAGCAGUGAAAUGCGUAGAGAUCGUAAGGAAGACCAGUGGCGAAGGCGGGUCUCUGGACAGUUCCUGACGCUGAGGCACGAAGGUCAGGGGAGCAAACGGG
rnacentral:rRNA from 1 species